GCCAGUGGCGCUUGGGUGGUUCAAGCGCUCGACUUGUAAUCGAGAGAUCGGGGGUUCAAAUCCCCCCACUGGCU
rnacentral:tRNA from 1 species